rnacentral:rRNA from 1 species
UACGAAGGGGGCUAGCGUUGCUCGGAAUCACUAGGCGUAAAGGGUGCGUAGGCGGGUCUUUAAGUCAGAGGUGAAAUCCUGGAGCUCAACUCCAGAACUGCCUUUGAUACUGAAGAUCUUGAGUUCGGGAGAGGUGAGUGGAACUGCGAGUGUAGAGGUGAAAUUCGUAGAUAUUCGCAAGAACACCAGUGGCGAAGGCGGCUCACUGGCCCGAUACUGACGCUGAGGCACGAAAGCGUGGGGAGCAAACAGG